UGUGUGUGUGUCUCACAUGAUUCGCUGUUGAUAUCGGCGCGGUGAUGCGCGCACUCGCGAUGAAACGAGCAUGAGCACGCGCGCGCAUGUGUGUACGUGAGUAAUGCUACGCACAUGUGUGCGUGUAUGCGCGCGCGCGAGUUGAAUUUUCUGCGCCGCGCAACACACGACGUCGGCGUCGGAGCAACGUUGCAUUGGCGCGCCACGGUGAUCAUGACAGCAUGACGUCAACCGGCCGUGUGUUAUUUUCGAAAGGGGACUCGACGGCGGCGACGCUGCACGGAGAAAUUGCGAGGCGGCGCAAACAGCCAGAGCACGUCGCUGUCGGGCGGAGGAACAACAAAGCAAACUUCGGGCGAUGUGAGCGAGUGAGCGAGCGAGAAUGUAAUGCGGGAUAUGUCGAAAGGACUCACUCGGUUGCGUCUUACGUGGAUGGAAAGUAUUUCUUUAAAACACGCAAAUUGCCACGACGAGACACGUGUGUGCGCGCGCGCGCGCGCGACUGGAUCGAACGACUCGAUUUGACAAAUGUCCUCGGGGACACGACCGGCGGUUCUCGAGUUUUACGUGAACCGGGGCCAAGGUCGAAACACUAUCGUUCUACCAGAUCGUCACGUUAGCGGCGCAAAAUUUAACCCGCGACAUAUCUAAAUCUCUAUAUAGGUGACGUCGAAAAGGUGGAGUUCUUGGCGCACGAAGGCACCCGAGAAAUUCGUCGCUAUUCUGGAGGCUGAUCCAAACGACGACAAGUUUAGCGGAGUAAAGUCCGCGGCAGAUUAGCCACGCGCUAUCGCAACGAGCGCGCGUGGAUAAGAUUGUGCCACGCCGCGCCGCGGUCGACCGGCUUCAGGCUUCAAGGACUCCGCUUGUUCAAGGCGGUUAAGACGUCAAGACGAAAUUUCUCGACGAGACUCCCGUUGCUGAACACGCGACCUGUUUCGCACAGCAGCGGUCAUUAAGCCGCGAUAAAAUAAGUAUUUAAUAAUAAACAAUAAUUUAAUUACCAUAAAAUAUUUUGUAUAAGAAAAGCAGUCUAUAUGUAUAUACAUAAAUCGCCCCGUUAUGUUUCGUUUAGAAAUGCACACUUGAUUUGUAUUAGGAAAUAUUAUUUAUCACAUGAUGGUUCUAUCGGAUCAUCGUAGAUUGCUUUUUCAAAAACUACUUUUUCAUUAAGCAUCUACACAUUAAUAUUGACAAGACAUCUAUGAAUUUAUUUCGCAAGUUAAUUUUACGUGACAUUUGUUGCUUAACGUAAAUAAUACGAUUCGGUUCUAUAUUUACAAAUCUAUAUAUUUACACAUCCGAUCAAAAAUUGACGAUUAUUUCGCAUGAGGAAAUUAUUUUUCUCGUCAAAUAUAUAAGUUUUUCAGAAAUGCCCACAGAAAGUUGGCCGGUAUUACAGAUACCGUUCUUAGCCUUUUUCGGCGACAUGCGACUCCCAGUCGAAAACAGCGCGGAGCGACGUCAUCAGGCGCGAAACGCGCGCGAGAGUCUGCGAUGUUUCACUCCCCCGAGGGACGACGGGCACGUGUACCGAAUCGGUGGUCGCAGAAGGCCAGAAGGGACGCCGAACGGGGCGAGGUAUACGGGGGUUGUUCCGAUGCGUCUCGACGGUAACUAUCCAAUACGUGACGCCGACCCACUCAUUCACUCCUCCAUCAACCCCCGAGGCACCCCGUGCGAUACCUACGAAUGCGCGUAGGCGAUCUCUCCCGUACGUAGGACGUAGGUACGCGCGCACUAUGUAACGUAUAUAACGCGCGUAUAUAUGCCUUUCGACUGGUAAAUACUCUACCCUAUAUACGAGGCGGCGAGGAGGGAAGGAGGAAGGAGGGGGGGAGGGAGAGAGAGAGAGAGAGAGCGCCUACGCGCCAGUCGCGCCUACAUUAGGGGAUGAAUAAAGGAAGGUCGCCGAAAACGGAGGGUCGGCACCCCUGGUCCCCAGUGCCUCUCAUUCGUACGCCUAUCUAUACGAUUGUUCGCUCAUCCUAUAGAGAAGCACGCACGCAUUACGUCUUCGGGGGACUUCUCACGAUAUGCUCGUCUCACGCAAUGUUAUUAAGAUUGCAUACGUUGUUGACAUCGAAAACUCAAGUUUCUCUACGUGUUCAAAGAUAAUAGAUAUUAAUUAUAUUUGUUUAUUUACGUAUUCCUUAUUAUUGUUAAUGUCUGUAUUGUAUUCAAUUAUGUGUACGCGCGUGUAUUCAGAUCAGUUUGUUAACAAAUAAAAUAAAACUAAUAAGAUCGCGUCUAGAAUUAGCCAAGAACCAUGUGGCUCCUUGCGUAAAUCGGACUGAGCGUCGCUGAUACUAUCUAUAGGUAUAGGGGCGCGCGACAUCUGCGGUGUCCUGAACGAAGGGUUCUACCCCGAAAACCGGGGAAUUGGGUGGGGAUCAGAAGCAGGAGAAAGGCCGCGAAAAAGAAAAAAAGUGAAUGAGAGAGAGUGAAAAACUCGAGGACGGAAAAUUGAGAGAUGAGGCAUGCCGAGAGGACGAGCGGAGACGAGGAGUAGAAAGGAAGGCGACAAAAGGAAAGAGACGAAAAUAGAGAGGAAAAGGACGUCAGGCUCCUCUCGAAAUAAAGCAAUGGAAAACGUCAUCCAGUCGUUAAUUGGUCCAUGCCAAUUCUAGGAGUCAAAGGUUUCCGUGCAUUUCCUGUAUUUCGCGAUGUCUCAAUUUGUUUCGACAACGAUAAGGAUAUUUCGAGCGUAGAUCUUAUACGACGAACAAAUUUAACCCUCCGAGAACACACUGGGUCAAUUUGACCGUUUUUUUAUUUUUUAAUAAAAAAAUAAAAUUUUGUUCGUAAAUUACGUUUUUUUUCAA